GGGGUCGUAAUUUGGUUUCGACAGAUUAUGGUUUUGAUUUAGCUGCAGGUAGUAGAUAUGCUUUAAAUAUCACAAUUUAAAAAUAACUGACAAAAGUUUUAAUUUUUCUCCAGUAUACGCUUAAUUAUUAGCAAGGAGGCUGAUAUUUUAAUCAUCCAUAGUUAAAAUAUUGGUUCAUAUAUGUGGAUUAUAUUUAUAUUAGUUCUUAUAUGAUAUAAAUGAAUAAUUUAUAAGAUAGUAAGUAUUAGUUUGUUAGAUGCUUUUGUACUUAUGAAAUUUUAAUUCUAACUAAACCUGUAGAUGCUACUUUGAAAGUGAUUUGGACGGGAGUUCGAGCCUCCCCGACUCCACCA
rnacentral:tmRNA from 1 species